CCUACGGGAGGCAGCAGUGAGGAAUAUUGGUCAAUGGACGAGAGUCUGAACCAGCCAAGUAGCGUGAAGGAUGACUGCCCUAUGGGUUGUAAACUUCUUUUAUAAAGGAAUAAAACGAGGCACGUGUGCCUUUUUGCAUGUCCUUUAUGAAUAAGAAUCGGCUAACUCCGUGCCAGCAGCCGCGGUAAUACGGUGGAUCCGAGCGUUAUCCGGAUUGAUUGGGUUUAAAGGGAGCGUAGAUGGGUUGUUAAGUCAGUUGUGAAAGUUUGCGGGUCAACCGUAAAAUUGCAAUUGAUACUGGCAGUCUUGAGUACAGUUGAGGUAGGCGGAAUUCGUGGUGUAGCGGUGAAAUGCUUAGAUAUCACGAAGAACCCCGAUUGCGAAGGCAGCUUACUAAACUGUGACUGACAUUGAUGCUCGAAAGUGUGGGUAUCAAACAGGAUUAGAUACCCGAGUAGUC
rnacentral:rRNA from 1 species